UACGAAGGGGGCUAGCGUUGUUCGGAUUUACUGGGCGUAAAGGGCGCGUAGGCGGCGUGACAAGUCACUUGUGAAAUCUCCGGGCUUAACCCGGAGCGGCCAAGUGAUACUGUCGUGCUAGAGUGCGGAAGGGGCUACUGGAAUUCUCGGUGUAGCGGUGAAAUGCGUAGAUAUCGAGAGGAACACCUGCGGCGAAGGCGGGUAGCUGGGCCGACACUGACGCUGAGGCGCGAAAGCCAGGGGAGCGAACGGG
rnacentral:rRNA from 1 species